rnacentral:lncRNA from 1 species
CAAAUCGUAGAGCAAACAAGGUACAUGUUCAGUUUUUGUCCCACGACACACAACAGGGCCACGAUGCUCAAACUAUCGUGCGACUGUCGUACGUCGAUUACAGAUCACCCUCGAUUUUCAUGUCGUGACGCUGUAUUGAUAUUUCGUGGGUUCUUUGUGACUAGGGCUUUUUAAUAGGACUUGAAAUUACCCUCCUAAAAUAAAACUACCAGUAUAUCUAUCAUAUACCUAAUCUUCUUGUCUGCACCUCCUGUCUCACUGUAGGUUAGGCAAAAUGGUAAAUGUUUAAUGUCUGCGAUGAACAUUUCUUUAUUUUCUUACAACGAAAUAAAAAGACAAUCUUUAACUCGAGCGUUAUGAAAGAUUAAAGAUAACUUAUGAUCAUUUUAGGA